rnacentral:rRNA from 1 species
AUUGAACGCUGGCGGCAGGCCUAACACAUGCAAGUCGAGCGAGUGGCGGACGAGUGAGUAAUGUCUGGGAAACUGCCCGAUGGAGGGGGAUAACUACUGGAAACGGUCGCUAAUACCGCAUACCAUCGGAUGUGCCCAGAUGGGAUUAGCUAGGAGGUGGGGUAACGGCUCCCCUCGGCGACGAUCCCUAGCUGGUCUGAGAGGAUGACCAGCCACCCUGGAACUGAGACACGGUCCAGACUCCUACGGUAGGCAGCAGUGGGGAAUAUUGCGCAAUGGGGGCAACCCUGACGCAGCCAUGCCGCGUGAAUUAAGAAGGCCUUCGGGUUGUAAAGUUCUUUCGGUAGCGAGGCGUUAACUACAGAAGAAGCACCGGCUAACUCCGUGCCAGCCGCCGCGGUAAUAC